AUUGAACGCUGGCGGCAGGCCUAACACAUGCAAGUCGAACGAGCGGCGGAAGGGUGAGUAAUGUCUGGGAAACUGCCUGAUGGAGGGGGAUAACUACUGGAAACGGUAGCUAAUACCGCAUACCAUCGGAUGUGCCCAGAUGGGAUUAGCUAGUAGGUGGGGUAAAGGCUCACCUAGGCGACGAUCCCUAGCUGGUCUGAGAGGAUGACCGGCCACACUGGAACGGAGACGCGGUCCAGACUCCUACGGGAGGCAGCAGUGGGGAAUAUUACACAAUGGGCGCAAGCCGGAUGCAGCCAUGCCGGGUGUAUGAAGAAGGCCUUCGGUUUGUGAAGUACUUUCAGCGGGGAGGCGUUACCCGCAGAAGAAGCACCGGCUAACUCCGUGCCAGCAGCCGCGGUAAUUC
rnacentral:rRNA from 1 species